rnacentral:rRNA from 1 species
UACGUAGGGGGCAAGCGUUGUCCGGAUUUAUUGGGCGUAAAGAGCGUGUAGGCGGUCAGGUAGGUCGGUUGUGAAAACUGGAGGCUCAACCUCCAGACGUCGACGGAAACCGUGUGGCUAGAGUCCGGAAGAGGAGAGUGGAAUUCCUGGUGUAGCGGUGAAAUGCGCAGAUAUCAGGAAGAACACCAAUGGCGAAGGCAGCUCUCUGGGACGGUACUGACGCUGAGACGCGAAAGCGUGGGGAGCGAACAGG